AUGGAUGCUCUAGAGCCAACUGAUAACUGUUCAGAACUCACACUUCCUGUUGCAAUGGCCCGGAAAGUGGACUCAUCAAAAUUUGUGGAGUAUUGGGUUCCUGCUCGCCUUUCACGAGUGCAACUAGAAAUGUACUGUUAUACCUUACUUUCAAACUCACCAGCGCUUCAAUCACAUCCAAAAACUGACAGUGUUGGUGCUCUUCGCAGCAUUCUUGUAUCCCUCCGGAAGUGCUGCGACCACCCUUAUCUAGUAGAUGAAAUGCUGCAAGCCUCACUAACCAAGGGCGACCCAGUAAGUGAUAUCGUAGAUAUUGGAGUGCGUGCAAGUGGCAAGCUACUGCUUCUUGACAAAAUGCUCCAAGAAAUCAAGGAAAAAAGGCAGAGAGUUCUUAUCCUCUCCCAGUUUUGUGACGGGGCUGGCUAUCAAAUGGGUGACAUUUUGGAUGAUUUUGUCCGUCAAAGCUUUGGUUUUGAGUCAUUUGAACGCGUGAAGCAUGGUUUCUGUUUACCAAAUAAAGAGGGUGCAAUGAGUAUGUUCAAUGACACGACCAAGGGCCGGUUUAUUUUCUUGAUUGAUAGUCGUGCAUGUGUCCCAAGCAUUAAACUAUCAUCAGUUGAUGUCAUCAUCAUAUAUUGUAGUGAUUGGAAUCCCACAAAUGACUUGAGAGUCCUCCGGAAGAUCAGCAUAGAGUCACAAUCUGAAUGCGUGCCCAUUUUUCGUUUGUAUUCGUCUUGUACAGUGGAGGAAAAGGCUCUUAUACUUGCAAAGCAUGAUCGUACAUUUGAUGGCAGUGUCCAGAAUAUAACGCCUAUCCUGAGCCAUUCUCUGCUUAGUUGGGGUGCAUCAUUUCUCUUCAGUAGAUUGGAAGGGCUAGAAAACGAUGCAUAUUUAAGCAAGGAUUCUGAUGCUGAAAAACUGUUCAUGGAUAAAGUACUUUCGGAGUACCUACCGAAGUUAUCCACCGAAGAUGAUCCCAGCACCAAGACGAGCAAUGCAGCCAUAUCACAAGUUCAUCUGAGUGGACCUUUUUAUUCUAGAGAUACUGUUGUAGUAGGUGACUCGUGA
rnacentral:rRNA from 1 species